GAGUACACGUAAGCACCUACCCUAAAGACGAGGAUAACCAUUGGAAACAGUGGCUAAGACUGGAUAGGAAGAUAAAAGGCAUCUUUUAUCUUUUAAAAGACCUAGUAAUAGGUAUGCUUUAGGAGGGGCUUGCGCCAUAUUAGUUAGUUGGUAGGGUAAUGGCCUACCAAGACGAUGAUGUGUAGCUGGACUGAGAGGUUGAACAGCCACAUUGGGACUGAGACACGGCCCAAACUCCUACGGGAGGCAGCAGUAGGGAAUUUUCGGCAAUGGAGGAAACUCUGACCGAGCAACGCCGCGUGAAUGACGAAGUACUUCGGUAUGUAAAGUUCUUUUAUCAAGGAAGAAAAGCAAAUGGCGAACCAUUUGUUUGCCGGUACUUGAUGAAUAAGCCCCGGCUAAUUAUGUGCCAGCAGCCGCGGUAAGACAUAAGGGGCAAGUGUUAUCCGGAAUUAUUGGGCGUAAAGGGUGCGUAGGCGGUCUAGUAAGUCAGUGGUGUAAUGGCAACGCUUAACGUUGUCCGGCUAUUGAAACUGCUAAACUUGAGUUAGAUAGAGGCGAGUGGAAUUCCAUGUGUAGCGGUAAAAUGCGUAAAUAUAUGGAGGAACACCAGAGGCGUAGGCGGCUCGCUGGGUCUUAACUGACGCUGAGGCACGAAAGCGUGGGGAGCAAACAGGAUUAGAUACCCUGGUAGUCCACGCCGUAAACGAUGAGUACUAAGUGUCGGGUUAAACCGGUACUGAAGUUAACACAUUAAGUACUCCGCCUGAGUAGUACGUACGCAAGUAUGAAACUUAAAGGAAUUGACGGGACUCCGCACAAGCGGUGGAUCAUGUUGUUUAAUUCGAAGAUACCCGAAAAACCUUACCAGGUCUUGACAUGUUUUUGCAAAAUGAUAGUAAUAUCGUGGAGGUUACCAGAAACACAGGUGGUGCAUGGUUGUCGUCAGCUCGUGUCGUGAGAUGUUAGGUUAAGUCCUAAAACGAGCGAAACCCUUAUCGUUAGUUGCCAGCACGUUAUGGUGGGGACUUUAACGAGACUGCCAAUGAUAAAUUGGAGGAAGGUGAGGAUCACGUCAAAUCAGCAUGCCCCUUAUGACCUGGGCUACAAACGUGAUACAAUGGCUGUUACAAAGGGUAGCUGAAACGCAAGUUCUUGGCCAAUCCCCAAAAACAGUCCCAGUCCGGAUUGAAGUCUGCAACUCGACUUCAUGAAGUUGGAAUCGCUAGUAAUCGCGAAUCAGCAUGUCGCGGUGAAUACGUUCUCGGGGUUUGUACACACCGCCCGUCAAACCACGAAAGUUG
rnacentral:rRNA from 1 species